GUGGGGAAUAUUGGACAAUGGGCGAAAGCCUGAUCCAGCCAUGCCGCGUGUGUGAAGAAGGUCUUCGGAUUGUAAAGCACUUUAAGCUGGGAGGAAGGGCAGUAAGUUAAUACCUUGCUGUUUUGACGUUACCGACAGAAUAAGCACCGGCUAACUUCGUGCCAGCAGCCGCGGUAAUACGAAGGGUGCAAGCGUUAAUCGGAAUUACUGGGCGUAAAGCGCGCGUAGGUGGUUUUGUAAGUUGGAGGUGAAAUCCCCGGGCUCAACCUGGGAACUGCCUCCAAAACUGCAUGACUAGAGUACGGGAGGGGGUAGUGGAAUUUCCUGUGUAGCGGUGAAAUGCGUAGAUAUAGGAAGGAACACCAGUGGCGAAGGCGACUACCUGGACUGAUACUGACAAUGAGGUGCGAAAGCGUGGGGAGCAAACAGGAUUAGAUACCCGGGUAGUCC
rnacentral:rRNA from 1 species